UAAAACAAGGAAAACAAUAGAGCCAUUCAGGUAACUGGCUGUGAGGCAGGAAGCUGGGAUCCUUGUCCUCCUGUGUUCCUCUUUCUCUGGGCAAACCAAACCAAGCACUCCCCCUCUUACAAGCUGAGAUCUCUGUCCCAGAAAGGAGAGACUUUUGCCAUUUUGUGGUUUUAUAAAGAGUCUUGGGCACCCUUUUCUGAAUUACCUGAGAUCAGCAGUGUGGAAUUCUGGAGAAUAAUGAAAACUACUUUAAUUUGGCUUCUCAAACCACAGCAUCUGACUGACACUCAGUGACAUGACGUUGGGGACCUUAUAAAGCAGCAAAUUCAUGGUGAGGCAAGAUCUCACCUUUAACAGAAGAGUCUCCCAGGUUUCAUUCAGCUUUUGAUCAGGGCUCAGGCCAGACCAACAUCUGAUGGAGUCCUCUGCCAAAAUGAGACCAGCUUCUAAGGGACCACAGGUCCUGUCAGCCCAAGAAAUCCAGAAAUGUGGAUGGAAAUGUUACCUUAUGGAGUGGAAAGAGAUCAAAAUUUGGGAGUCUGAAUACUUGGGUUCAGUUUCUGGCUUGACUACCCACCACUUUCUUUGUGACUUGGGGUGCCUCCCUCAUCCACUGCCACAAUCUCCCAGUGUUCUGCUGACUCACAGAUUCCUGAACCAGAGGCAAGACAGAUGAGGAAACUGAGGGCCAAAGAGGCUGAGUGAAGUUCCCAGGGUGUAACAUAGAGUGUCAGAGGCAAGAUUUGAACCCUGGUCUUCCUGACUCUUACGAUCCUCUCUGUCCCGGGACAGCACACUAUGGUUGAUGGAGCAUUGAACUUGGAAUCAGGAAGAACAGAGUUCAGAUUAGACGCCUGCCAGCUGGGGAAGCCAGGUCCCCAACUUGAGUUUACUUCAUCAUCAAUAA